rnacentral:rRNA from 1 species
CCGCACAAGCGGUGGAGUAUGUGGUUUAAUUCGACGCAACGCGAAGAACCUUACCAGGGUUUGACAUCCACUGAAUACCUAAGAGAUUUAGGUCGGCCCCUUCGGGGACAGUGAGACAGGUGCUGCAUGGCUGUCGUCAGCUCGUGUUGUGAAAUGUUGGGUUAAGUCCCGCAACGAGCGCAACCCUUAUCCUUUGUUGCCAGCGAGUAAUGUCGGGAACUCAAAGGAGACUGCCGGUGAUAAACCGGAGGAAGGUGGGAUGACGUCAAGUCAUCAUGGCCCUUACGAGUAGGGCUACACACGUGCUACAAUGGCAUAUACAAAGAGAAGCGAACUCGCGAGAGCAAGCGGACCUCAUAAAGUAUGUCGUAGUCCGGAUUGGAGUCUGCAACUCGACUCCAUGAAGUCGGAAUCGCUAGUAAUCGUAGAUCAGAAUGCUACGGUGAAUACGUUCCCGGGCCUU